CACGUAGGGGACGAGCGUUGUCCGGAUUCAUUGGGCGUAAAGCGCGCGUAGGCGGCUCGGAAAGUCGGGCGUGAAAUGCCGGGGCUCAACCCCGAGCCUGCUUCCGAUACGGGCGGACUAGAGGUAGGUAGGGGAGAACGGAAUUCCUGGUGUAGCGGUGGAAUGCGCAGAUAUCAGGAGGAACACCGGUGGCGAAGGCGGUUCUCUGGGACGGUACUGACGCUGAGACGCGAAAGCGUGGGGAGCGAACAGG
rnacentral:rRNA from 1 species